GAGCUCAUUUCAGCAGCACAUACACUAAAAUUGGAAUGAUACAGAGAUAACCAUGGCCCCUAUGCAAGUAUGACACACAAAUUCAUGAAACAUUCCAUAUUUAA
ensembl:snRNA U6 U6 spliceosomal RNA